GCCCUGGUGGUGCAAUGGUUAAAGUGUUUGGCUGCUAACCAAAGGUCGGUGGUUCAAACCCACCAGUGGCU
rnacentral:tRNA from 1 species